rnacentral:rRNA from 1 species
GUCCUUUCGAGAUAAAUUUAAGGUCUAACCUGCCCACUGAAUUUUAAAUGGCCGCAGUACUCUAACUGUGCAAAGGUAGCAUAAUAAUUAGUCUUUUAAUUGAAGGCUGGAAUGAAUGGUUGAACGAGAUAUUUUCUGUUUCAUAUAAAUUUACAUUAGAACUUUAUUUUUCAGUAAAAAAGCUGAAAUAACUUUAAAAGACGAGAAGACCCUAUAAAUCUUUACACUUUACAAAAUUUAUUAAACUAGAAUCUUUAUAAAAAGUUUUUAUAAGUGUUUUAUUGGGGUGAUAUUAAAAUUUAACAAACUUUUAAUUUAUUGUACAUUUAUUUAUGAAUGAUUGAUCCGUUUACACGAUUAGUAAAUUAAGUUACUUUAGGGAUAACAGCGUAAUUUUUUUGGAGAGUUCAUAUCGAUAAAAAAGAUUGCGACCUCGAUGUUGGAUUAAGGAAUAAGUUUAGGCGCAGCCGUUUAAAUAGUAAGUCUGUUCGACUUUUAAAUCCUU